GCAGUGGAGAAUCAGCUCCUGGUUUCGUUAAAAGUUUGAAUCAUAUUCGAGGAAACAAAUUAUCAAUUCUUACCAUUAUUGCAGUUAAACAGUAAUUGAUUUAUAUUGCUAGAAGGUAUAUGUCAUGUAACCUGAUAUCUUCAUUUUACAGAUGGGGAAACUGAGGCCCAGCCGGAAGCAACUGAUCCAGGCGUAGACAGAGCUCAUCCAGAAUCCACAUUACGUCUGGUUGUCAUGUCCCUGUCGGCUCCACUUGACUCUUAUCUCUGAAGAAAACAAAACACGAGCGGGACGGCUUUGUGGAACAAUCCUCCCUUUAUCCUCCAGAAACGGCACUGCCCAUCUGAAUUUGGACGAGCCACAUUUCCAAGUGCUCAGCAGCUGCAUGUGGUCCGUGACCACUGUACCGGGCGUGUGUAGCUCUCACCCCUGUACCGUCAUGCCUGAGUCACUGAAGUCUGUGUCAUCCAGGUUUACCAGACUGUAUUUCCCGAGGAAGAAACUCAGUAAAAUUUCCAUUUUUAACAAAGAUGAUGCCGUCACAUGGAUUGAAUUCCGUUUUCAAAUAGAAAGAGGUAUUUUCAAACAUCCUUGAACUGAGCAUGCAGAAUGAGGGAGGCAUGGUGCUUACGUACUCACUAAUCUCUGUUAUGACACGUCUGCAUGACUGAGAGUAUCAUGCUCCUGGGUUGAGGAAAGGAGGGUUGUCCACAAAUGACACAUGAGUGGAGCCAUCGUGUUCCUGUAUAUACUCGGUAGAUAUAUGUACGGGCUGGAAUAGGUAAGUUUAAUCCUUUGCCAUUAUUCAUUUCACUUUCCUGAAUUCUGUGCUAUUUCCAAGGAGUAACUGCUUUUCUUCUGGGUUAAGUAGAAAUCUUUGCUUAAGUCAAAACCACUUACUUUAAAUACAUUCAGAGACAUCAGGAUCUUUUGCCCUAGGAGUGUUUCUCAUGUUUUUCAAAGUCCAUGAAUUGUCACUUGACCUUAAUGGACACUUAUAGAUCACUGAAUUAAGGAUUAAACUAAGUGGAGAAAAGAAGCUUUUAUCCAAAAUUCUCUGAUUUAUUGAGACAGAUUUGGGAAGUCAUAACAGUGUCACUUAAUUGAGCAUUGAUGAUUAUAGUGCCAAUGUAUACAAAAUGAAAAGGACUUGGGGUUUAAUUCUGCUAUUUGGAAUUAUUUGUGGUCCCUUUUAAGGAGGUCGAGAAUAUUUGCACAGAAGAGAAAAAUCUGGUGAGAGUUACUCCAGUUAAAAUUCAGUAAGAUGUGCAAUUGCUAUUGUAAGUCAGAACGUUCCUGAAAAGUUAAAAAAAAAAAAAUUCCUCAGCUUCCUAGAUACUUUGUGCACAGGUUGGUAUCAGGAAUUCCAAAUAAACGACUAAAUGGUGAAAUGUUGUCCCUUUCAUUUAGGUACGUUACUAUUAUGUAUCUCUCCUGCUGAAAAAUUUUCUCCAUCAUUGGUUUGAAGUUAAAAAUUGUGUCACAUAGCUGAAAAUAACAAAAAGAGAUGUUCAUAUUCUUAGGUAGUCUUGAGAUGCCAGGAUGCACUUUUCUUCUUCAGGCAAAAUCCAUUUUUAACACUCAUCCUCCAGGUAGGCUUUCCAGGUGGUCAUGAAAGGAAACUUGUUCAUUGCUUCGUAUCUGGAAAGGAUAGAUUUGAUCUACGUUGGAAUCUUCUUAGAGCCGAAUCUGAACAUUAUCCAGCCCCUUUCUAAUGAGAUUGUGUUCUUCUGCCAACCAGUUUCACUGCAUGCCUGAGUCGGAAAUUUUUGAAACAUAUUACACUUUUCUAGAUUUUUCUUCCAGAGAAAGGAACUUAGCUGAAGAAUUUGAAAACCUUCUCUUACAUACCCAGAAGUUUGGCCGGGUAAUGGGUUGUUUGGGAACAAAAGUAAUUACCGAGUGUAGGUAGCCAAAUCAGAUCUGCAAAUCCUAAUACACAGAUUUAGGCACGUGAUGUUGAAAUGUGUGACCAGUAAAUAAAUAAGACAAAAUAAAAUUCCAACAUUUUCUCCUGUCUCUCAGGAGAGUCUAAUAAAUGGACUUGGGUUCCCCUGCAAAUAGUUAACCUAUGUUCUCCUAUACCCAGCAUCUAGAGGCCCAGUGGCCCACAUACAAUAUGGAAUGGGCAACAAGACUGACCAUGCCAGCUGCCUUUUAAAAGUAAAUGCCAGUUAAGAAAAAAAUCGCCUUUCCGAGGAAAUAGUACGGCAAAAGGGGGAGUAAUGGAAUGCCAUCUUCCUUCAGAAGAAAACAAUUUCUCUUAUCAGACUCCUUCCACUUAAGGGAUGACACAGGAGGAGCAGCAGGCCAAGGCCUUCUCAGAGAACCGGGAAUUCGGAGGACAUUGUCCAGACAAGGUCAGCAUUCCAGAUCCAUCAGACUGAACUGGACUUGAAUCAGACUUUCCUGGUGUGGCUUAUUCUGGUGGUUUUUGUGUUCGGGGCUUAGUGGAGUGAAUCAGAAGCUUUCAGGAAAAGACUCUUUCCACUAAGAUAAUAACAGGAUCUACCCCAUGAAGUAGUAAGGAUGAAACAAAGCCAUGAAUUUAAAGAGUUCAGACAGGAGCUGGUAUCUGGCACAUAAUAAGAGCUCAAUAAAUGUUACCAGC